rnacentral:rRNA from 1 species
CGGCAGGCUUAACACAUGCAAGUCGAACGCGUGUAGCAAUACACGAGUGGCGCACGGGUGAGUAACGCGUGGAUAUCUGCCUUUUGGUUCGGAAUAACCCCGGGAAACUGGGACUAAUACCGGAUGGUUCCUUCGGGAUAAAGAUUUAUCGCCGAAAGAUCGGCCCGCGUCUGAUUAGCUAGUUGGUGAGGUAAUGGCUCACCAAGGCGACGAUCAGUAGCUGGUCUGAGAGGAUGAUCAGCCACAUUGGGACUGAGACACGGCCCAAACUCC